rnacentral:rRNA from 1 species
UAGGGAAUCUUCGGCAAUGGGGGCAACCCUGACCGAGCAACGCCGCGUGAGUGAAGAAGGUUUUCGGAUCGUAAAGCUCUGUUGUAAGAGAAGAACGUGUGUGAGAGUGGAAAGUUCACACAGUGACGGUAACUUACCAGUAAGGGACGGCUAACUACGUGCCAGCAGCCGCGGUAAUACGUAGGUCCCGAGCGUUGUCCGGAUUUAUUGGGCGUAAAGCGAGCGCAGGCGGUUUAAUAAGUCUGAAGUUAAAGGCAGUGGCUUAACCAUUGUUCGCUUUGGAAACUGUUAAACUUGAGUGCAGAAGGGGAGAGUGGAAUUCCAUGUGUAGCGGUGAAAUGCGUAGAUAUAUGGAGGAACACCGGUGGCGAAAGCGGCUCUCUGGUCUGUAACUGACGCUGAGGCUCGAAAGCGUGGGGAGCAAACAGG